rnacentral:pre_miRNA from 1 species
CGAGAUAUUGGUGCGGUUCAAUUUGAAAGCCGUGCUCAAUAGGCUUAGAGCUCGGUUAUUUGAUUGAGCCGUGCCAAUAUCACG